GUAGGGGGCGAGCGUUAUCCGGAAUGAUUGGGCGUAAAGCGCGCGCAGGCGGCCGCUCAAGCGGGACCUCUAACCCCGGGGCUCAACCCCGGGCCGGGUCCCGAACUGGGCGGCUCGAGUGCGGUAGGGGAGAGCGGAAUUCCAAGUGUAGCGGUGAAAUGCGCAGAUAUUUGGAAGAACACCGAUGGCGAAGGCAGCUCUCUGGGCCGUCACUGACGCUGAGGCGCGAAAGCCGGGGGAGCGAACAGGAUUAGAUACCCUGGUAGUCCCGGCCGUAAACGAUGGGCGCUAGGUGUGGGGGGACAUUCCCUCCGUGCCGCAGCCAACGCAUUAAGUGCCCCGCCUGGGGAGU
rnacentral:rRNA from 1 species